rnacentral:lncRNA from 1 species
UUUAGGGUUAGAAAGGGUUUAGGGUUAGGUAGGGUUUAGGGUUAGAAAGGGUUCAGGGUAGGUAGGGUUUAGGGUUAGGUAGGGUUUAGGGUUAGAAAGGGUUUAGGGUAGGUAGGGUUUAGGGUUAGGUAAGGUUUAGGGUUAGUAGGGUUUAGAAUUAAGUGGGGUUUAGGGUUAGGUAGGGUUUAGGAUUAGGUUGAGUUUAGGGUUAGAAAGGGUUUAGGGUAGGUAGGGUUUAGGGUUAGGUAGGGUUUGGGGUUAGUAGGGUUUAGGGCUAGGUAGGGUUUAGGGUUAGGUAGGGUUUAGGGUUAUAUAGGGUUUAGGGUUAGAAAGGGUUUAGUUAGGGUUUAGGGUUAGUAAGGUUUAUAGGGUUAGGUAGGGUUUAGGGCUAGAAAGGGUUUAGGGUUAGAAAGGUUUUAGGGUUAGGUAGGGUUUAGGUUAGGUAGGGUUUAGGGUUUGGUAGGGUAUAGGGCUAGAAUGGGUAUAGGGCUAGAAUGGGUUUAGGGUUAGAAAGUUUUUAGGUUUAGGUUAGGUAGGGUUUAGGGUUAGUAGGGUUUAGGGUUAGGAAGGGUUUAGGGUUAGAAAGGGUUUAGGGUUUAGUAGGAUUUAGGUUAGGUAGGGUUUAGGGUUAGGUUUAGGUAGGGUUUAGGGUUAGGUUUUAGGUAGGGUUUUAGGGUUAGGUAGGGUUUACGUUUAGGGCUAGGUAGGGUUUAGGGAUUAGGGUUAGGUUUAUGUAGGGUUUAGGGUUAGAUAGGGUUAAGGUCUAGGUUUAGGUAGGGUUUAGGUUUAGGUAGUAGGAAAGUUUUAGCGUUUAGUUUAGGUUGGUUUAAGGUUUGGUUUAGAAUAAUGCUUAGGAUUAUAGGGUAAGGUUUGUUUGUUUUUUUGUUUAUGCAUUUAGUGUUGAGUUUUUCGGAGAAAAUUUUAUAUUAAUAUUAUUGAUUCAUAAUUUUUCCUAUAAUAUUAAAAUUUUUAACGUAUAAAAAUAUAAAAUUUUAAUGUAUACAUUAUACAUAGGUGAAAAAGAAUUCAUGAGAAUAUUACUUUUCCUAAAAAAUUUGAUGAA